AGCGAACGCUGGCGGCAGGCUUAACACAUGCCAGUCGAGCGCCCCGCAAGGGGAGCGGCAGACGGGAGGGUAACACGUGGGGACAUACCUUUUGGUUCGGAACAACUGAGGGAAACUUCAGCUAAUACCGGAAAAGGCCUUACGUGGAAAGAUUUAUCGCCGAACGAUUGGUCCGCGUCUGAUUAGCUGGUUGGUUUGGUAACGGCUCAGCAAGGCGACGAUCAGUACCUGGUCUGAGAGGAUGAUCAGCCUCACUGGGACUGAGAUACGGCCCAGACUCCUACGGGAGGCAGCAGUGGGGAAUAGUGGACAAUGGGGGCAACCCUGAUCCAGCCAGGCCGCUUAAGUGAUGAAGGCCUUAGGGUUGUAAAGCGCUUUUGCCCGGGAAGAUAAUGACGGUACCGGGAGAAUAAGCCCCGGCUAACUUCGUG
rnacentral:rRNA from 1 species